CCGGCCCGCUGCGAGCCUCCGACCUUGCUCCUGGGCGCCCCGGGGGCGCGCGCUUCCCCGCGCCGCCGUUCCGCUUGCCCUACAGCUCCCCUCUCCUUCGGCUCGGCCAGUCCUUCCGCCUCCUGGGCGCCUUGCCUUCUGUCCAGGGCCCUGCAACAGCAGGGUGUUCAGCCUGCGUUAGCCAUUGUCUACAUGAACCUCAGGAAGCACACGGGUGAGUCUGCUCUACCUGGGACGAUAGUCUGUAAGGUUCUCCAGGGAUUUCAAAGAGAAAGAAGCGUGUCUUCCAAGGCUUCCCCAAACCCAGCAGCUGCUCGUAUUGUAGUACGCCCAUCAAGGCAUUGCGAUCCUGGGCCAGCACGCUCAGAUUCUGCCUUUCGGCGUUCUUUCCACUGUCCCCAUUGGCCAAGUUCUUCUGGGUCUGCUGGAAAGCUCCCACAGGUUAUUCCGAAGUCUCACUCUUCAUUCCUGCACUCCACUUCUCAAGUGCCUGCUCCCGUGGAGAAUGUUGCAGUGUGAAAUCUUCAGAUGAAAAACGUGUGCUUUUCAUGCAGUUUUAAAAAUGGAAUUUCCUGGUAACACGUUUUGGUUUCCCUGUUCUACAUGCAAAGAGAAGCUUAGGCAAGCAGAACCUAAAUGACUUGCUAGGUGACGAGGCAGGUUGGACUGCAGCACAGUGACUGGAAUGACCACGGUGCCCAGCGUCCGGUUACCCAGCGCCUUCUCUGUUUUCUACUGCACGUUCUCGGUAACUCAGAUGCUGGCGUGAAGCCCGGUCUCCCAACCCACCCACCAGCCGAUAAACCAGCCAGCGUUUGUCCAAGGCCCACUCUGUUGUUGCUGCAGCAGGGUUUGGUGCUGUGGGGAAUGCCAAAGCCAGACCAGACAGGGUCCCUGCCACCCUGGUGCUUGUAAUCUUCUCGGAGAAACAAGACAAAAAUACAUGACACAAUUGCAGAAUCUGACAGAAUGUAAUAAAGUGCUAAAUUGUGUGGUGUAGGCAAUUAGAGAUCAAGACAGUAUAUAAUAAAGUGCUAAUUGUGUGGUGCAGACAGUGAGUAUAAUGGGAAUUCAGUGGAGGGAUGGCUGCGUGUGGGCUGCAGUCUUCAGGGAAGGCUUCUCACCGUGUCAGGCUGCCGUGCUCAUCCAGCGCACGAUGGGAAGCGGAAUAUGAAGUAGCAGACGGAGGAAGAGCAGAAUACCCGUGUUGUUCCGUGGCAUCUCCUCUCCAUCUGGAUGAGGACAGACGGAGAAGGAGUUCUUUGACAGGUGGCACUCUCCAUUAAAAAAAAAAAAUCAGACAGAGAAAUGUUUCAUUUUUUAAUUAAUUGUGUUACAGAAAAAUUUUACAGAAACUUGGUCAUGUUUUAAAUUGAAUAAUGUUUUAUAUGUACUAGGAGAGUCCAGUGUUUAAAGAAGUUACAUUGUAAAUCGUUUUCAUUAAUGAAGAAUACUUUUGCAGGAUAGAUAAUCACUUACUGGUUUAUCUUUAUACCAGGUUCCUUAAAUUAAG